GCUCUCGUUUGGGCAUUGCAAAAAACGCAACACUAGCCAGUCUUUGGAGAGAUGGAGCUUGGCGUUUGCCACAUGCUCGAUCAGAUAAUGAGCUUGAAUUACACAUGUUCCUCACUACUCUACAAAUGCAAGAAGGAAAAGAUUACUAUGAAUGGGAACUGGAAGGAAGGAUAAGUAAUAAGUAUUCAACUGGGGAAGUUUAUCAUUUGCUGAGAGGAGAACUCCCUGUAGUACCUUGGAAAACUGUUGUCUGGUCAACAGGUGCGAUCCCUCAUCACUCCUUCUUGACUUGGUUAUUUGUUCUUGACAGAUGCCCUACCAGAGACCGUAUACUGAGCUGGGGCCUGCAAACUGAUCCAGCGUGUCUACUCUG
rnacentral:lncRNA from 1 species